rnacentral:misc_RNA from 1 species
CGACUGCCGGUGCCAGUGUCCCUUCAAUCGUUGGCUAUCGUGUGCCUAUCGYUUCACGAGUGCUUGCGUGCUGCUACCAGUAACGCUGGAAGUUGCAUUGCUAAAAGGUUGGUUUUGCCGUGCAUGCCCAUUGGGCAUGACACGACAAUUAUAAAGCGGUCAUGGCGUUGCCUCGUGUAGCUGGCCGCAUUGGCUAGUGGCAUCAAGGCUACCUCAUGGUCGCUGUUGGUCUCGGAUGUGGCUAACUCUAAAGGCUGAAGGUGCUUUGGCACCCCAUGCCUACAAAAUACUGUCCGGUUGGAAUAAACGACAGUUGGCCUAGCUGAAGCCUUGUGUGG